rnacentral:lncRNA from 1 species
CCGCCGGCCCGCCGAGGCCGCGGGCGGGCGAUCGGACCGUCCCGAGACCACCGGAGCGGACUGUUUGAAACUCACCAUGUCCCAACUGCGCCGGCGACAUCCUCCCUGCCCAGGCGCCCCAGGAGGAGCUGCGGCCGCGGAGCGCGCUUGGCCCGGAACGGAAACCCGGGUCUGCGGCCUCGCCCCUCGGACCCCAGCUCCCCUCUGCAGGCCCUGCAUCCUCCCCCAACGCAGCCGAGCCUCAGUGUCCUGAUCCGGGAAGUGGGCGCACAACGCCUGGCUGAGUGGUGACCUGUCCGAACUCAGCUCAGCCUUCCGCGCCGGGCCGGGACACAAAGGGACCGCUCUUCUGGCAGAUCCCCAUCUAGGGGAUCAUCGCCACAACGGGCUCGUGAUGUCUCCAUCGUGCCAAACUCGCAGCAAUAGCUGUCUUUUUCUGGAUCUUGGAGUUAGAAAAACAGCUACAGCAAAAGACCCCUGAAGGAAGCGCUUUGUCCCGAACACUCGCGAAUCCUCACAUGUGGCCCCACGCUGGCCCUCUGAACUUCUCCCCGGGAUGCCCACUUGAGGGACGGAAGUCGCAUCUCCCUGGGAGCCAGCGACUUCCCCCGAGGCGGCGUAGCAGGAAGUCCUGUCCCCUACGGUGAAAAUCCAGACCCAGAGCUGUGGGAGGCCUCAGAGUGCCCAGGGGCCCUGGGAGCACAAAGGAUUGUUGCCGCCGCGAGGACUCCGCUCUGAAGGAGCUGCCGGCCCAGGCCCGCAGCCGUGGGCUAUGUUGUAGCCCGGUAGAAGUGCACUUGCCCCAGAACAUUUGGGAUCUUGAGUUCCCAUUCAAGCCUGCAAAAAGAAGCAGAACCCAUGGGCAUGUGUGCUCCAGGUGUCACUCCUCGUGCCCUCUGGGACCUGGCUCCUGUGAUGAUCAAGCAAGACUGGGCGUUCCUGGAUCGGGUUGGCAGCAGCCUCCAGAUGCGCUCCUGACUGUUCCUGGUACGUGGCUGCCAG